AUGCAGAAGAAAGUUAGGGAGGAUCGAAAGAAAGAUGCAGAGAAUACCUUAGCCAUUGCAGUCAGAGAUUUCACCGUUGCGUCAAGGUCUGGAUGCGAUAUGAUUAAGAUUACAGGUGGUUUGAGAGUUAUAUUGGUGAUGGCGGCAGCGAAAUCUCACCACCAUGGUAUCGACAGAGAAAAGAAAAAGGGAAGUGUGAGAGUGUUGAAGGGAAAAUAG